GCGGAGCUCCAGGGAGCCCUCUGGGACCGAAACUUUCCGCGUUGCCGGCCCGCACCCUAGCUGGGAGUAGGGAGCCGUUGGGGGAGGGUCAUCCGGGGGACUUAAAGUGCGCGUGCACUGUGCACGGCGGGCGGAGGCGGGGAGGCGGCUGGCCACCCCCAGAGCCACAGGCACCUGGGCAGGGUCCGGCCACGCCGCAAUCGAACGCGCCCAGGCUCCAGAAGAGGCCAUAUAGGAUUCCUGGAAAAGACCCGCCACAUUCCCGCCCCCAGUCCCGCGAACCCACAAAGUGCUGAGUAACGAUUACCAGGAAGUCUCUCUCUGCCCCUCCUUUCCGGAAUUUACCGUGACGGUUCUCUUCUCUACCCUCCUCCUUUCACUGGUGAACUUGCUGCUCCAGCGUGACACAGCACUUUAAGGGACAGGCUGGGCACCUCCGAACAGACUGCUGUUGUGGGUUCUAAGUGUGGCCAGAGUGACGCAGUUGUGACCCUGAGCAGACCGUGAACUCCCGUUCCCUCAGUUUUCCUUUAUGUAAAAUGAGCAUCAAGAUGGUCCCUAACUCCUGGUGGUGAUAUUUUGAGGAUUAAAUAAAGUGCCUGUACAUUGAUGGGGCUAGUGCUCGGCACAUGGUGGUAGAGCCUGGAACAGAGAAGCAGGCCAUUUGCGUUGAUACAGGAUUGCCUGUUGCAGGCUGGGUUUGGAGCACUGGGGAUUGGGAAAGGUGCGUAUUCUAGCUGGCAUUAGGAAGCCAGGAGGGCCUGUGGGUAGCUGGGAGUAGAAGUGGGGAAGCUGCUGAGCUGGAGAGAGGCAUGAGAGCCAGAUGCCUGGAAAGAGUGGGAUGAAUUGGGGCAAGAAGGUGGAGCAUGAUUUUCCGAUGGAGCAGCUCUCGGUGCAUCUAGGUGUGAUUGGCUGGGAUGGUGACAUUCCUCCCUGGCUUCUCCCUAGGGUCCCUGGCUUCCUUCUCUCUGCGCUUUCAGAGGGGAAUGAAGAAAACCAGAGGUUUUGAACCUACUGUGCAACGUUUCUGGAAGGUUGAGGAGCGCAGGGCUGUGGGUAAGGAUGUAGACAAGGGACACGUUCUAAGGACAGUCCUAGACUGAAGGAGGAACUUUUGCAUAGAGAAUAAGGACUAGUAGGGCACAGAAGAGGCCUCGUGGGGUACCAGGAGCAGAACAUGGCUUUUCUGCUGCUGUAUCUUCAGCCCAACUUUCAUCCAAGCUUCUGCGCCUCUCUGUUAGUUGUACAUUUUAUGUGGGAGAUGGCAAUAAAUGUGCUGUAGGAAGGAGAGGUACAGAUCUCCAGUGGCCAUCCAGUCCACCCUCUGACAUCUCCUCUUCAAGGACGUUCCAAAUAUCCAGUGACACAAUUAGAGGAGGUACUGACUCCGCUCCACCUUCCUGGACCAACAUAGAGUAGAUAUGGGGGCUGUUACAAUGACAGAGAACAGGGAACUGGGAGGCUAGCAUGUGUGUUAAGAGGCCAGACUCUGCAAUUAGAUUCCCGGUCUUCAUCCCCACUCUCCCACUGAGUGGCUGGGUAACCCUAGACAAGCCUAAAUGGCCUUCCUGUGCCUCAGUUUCCUCAUCUAUAAAAUGGGGAUAAUAAUACCUCAUGCUAUUGGAAGGGCUGAGUGAGAUAAAAUAUACAUAAAGUGCUUAGAACCAUGCCUGGUACGCAGUAAGUGGCAUAUGAACUCGGAUUAUAGGCUAUGAAGGGAAUGGUGAAAUCCUUCUGGAACGAUGGCAGAGGUGGAAGGGGAGACCUGAGAACAGCCCUAAGUGAAUCAAGUCAUCAGGAAAUUAGUACAGAACAGUGAGCUCUAUAACAUCAGUCUCAAAGGAAUUUUUCCCCUCACAGCAUGAAAGAAAAGUGGGCCUGACCUGGCCCUACCCAAAGAGGAAGGUCCCCUGCCACAGGGACAUGGGACACUUAGUCCUUAACAGUUCAGCUGUGGCCAGGAGAUGACAUUCUGGGAAGAGUGUGAGGUGUGGAGGAAUUGCUGGGACAGCCCAGUGAGGGAGGAUCUGUUUGUACUGAGAGGUCGAGGCGAGAAGAGGAGAGAGGGUGAUGGAAAGGUCGCGCGAGGGCCUGGUUCUGCGCAUUAGUCAGAACUCGUUAAGUUUUAAGAAGAAAUUCCAACUCAAAUGACUUCAACACAAAAGAAUUAGUAACGCGUACUCCUGGGAACUCCAGAGCCCACAGAUGUCCUGGGAGCACCGUGGGUAUUGUUUCAUUCUCAGUGGGCUCUCCACCUAGUGUCUCCACCUGGUCCAGGCUCCUGCAGACUUAGGUCCCUACUGUUUUAGUGUCCCCGAAGGAAGAGCGCUCCUCUCCCGGUUCUAGUAACUGCCUGGGAUGCUGCCCUUCACUGACCUGAAUGGGGGGAGGGGUGGGAGGGGAGAGGCAUCAGCUUUGCUUGAACCAAUCAUUUCCACCAGGAGUGAGGAAAAUCCAGGGGGUUACCAGAGGAAAGGGGAAAUGCAUUUUGGACAGGCAAAAUUGGUAUUCCUACGUCAUCUGGAAGAGCAGAGGCUUGUAGCCUGGGUGAUGAGCUUGCUUCAGGUUUCCGGGUCGGCUCAGUCUGAGGCUCCCUGGGGAAUUAGAAAACUAGGUUUGCUGUCUUUGUUCAGGUCUGACUUGAAGAAAAUGCAGCCCUAGGGCUUCUGAAGCAAGCUUUUCUCAGAUGGUAGAUUUCUCUAAGUAUGGCCCUCAAUCGCCUCCUUCAGCAUCGCUGAAGCUACUUGAUGAUACUGCAGAUUUUUGGGCCACACCCGGACAGACUUAGGGAAUCGCAGUCUUUUGAGGCAGAUCCCUGGAGUCAGCAUUUUUAAAACAGCAUCUCAGGUGAUUAGGGACACUAAGAUUUGAUCAGUUUUGCCCUGGGAUCUCCAAGGGGAUCCCCGCAUGAGUUAAGCUUAAAGACUCCGUCUAGAAGGAGAGUUGCAAUGAAGAAACACAAAAGAGAACAUGCUAAGUGGUAUAAAAUUGGGAGCUCAAAAUACUAUGGUAAAGAAGAUGGAAGGCAAAGGAACAAAUAAAAGCGUGAAACAGUCCUUCAGUGCCGGGCCUGAAACUGGGUGUGUCACAUCAUUCAUCUCAACAUCCCCUAGAAGAUAGAUUUAUAUUCUUCCCAUUUUACAGAGAAGAAAAUCAAGAUCCAGAGAGGUCGUCUGGUCACAUGAAAUGUGCACCAACUCUUAGACCUUGUUCCUGAAGGGGAGGAAGUGUCAGCCCAGUUUUCAAGCCAGCCCAUUCACAUAUCUUUAAAUACCCCUGGUUUCACCAGUGACAAAUAUCUAACAUUCCUUAUGCUAAUUUACAAACUCUAACUGUAAGGGUAUUUCCCCUUUGCUGCUUCCGGAUUCUUUUUUCUCCUUCAAGAAUCCUGUGCAUAUCAUUACUGAAAGAAAAAAAAAAAA